UAUUUGGGGUAGGACAGGUGGUGCAUGGUUGUCGUCAGCUCGUGUCGUGAGAUGUUGGGUUAAGUCCCGCAACGAGCGCAACCCUAUUGCUAGUUACCAUCAUUAAGUUGGGGACUCUAGCGAGACUGCCAGUGAUAAACUGGAGGAGGGUGGGGAUGACGUCAAAUCAUCAUGCCCCUUAUGACCUGGGCUACAAACGUGAUACAAUGGCUGGAACAAAGGGAUGCGAAGCAGUGAUGUGGAGCGAAACCCAUAAAAACAGUCUCAGUUCGGAUUGAAGUCUGCAACUCGACUUCAUGAAGUCGGAAUCGCUAGUAAUCGCGGAUCAGAACGCCGCGGUGAAUACGUUCUCGGGGUUU
rnacentral:rRNA from 1 species